rnacentral:rRNA from 1 species
GGUUAAGCGACUAAGCGUACACGGUGGAUGCCCUGGCAGUCAGAGGCGAUGAAGGACGUGCUAAUCUGCGAAAAGCGUCGGUAAGGUGAUAUGAACCGUUAUAACCGGCGAUGUCCGAAUGGGGAAACCCAGUGCAAUUCGUUGCACUAUCGUUAACUGAAUACAUAGGUUAACGAGGCGAACCGGGGGAACUGAAACAUCUAAGUACCCCGAGGAAAAGAAAUCAACCGAGAUUCCCCCAGUAGCGGCGAGCGAACGGGGAGCAGCCCGGAGUCUGAAUCAGCUUGUGUGUUAGUGGAAGCGUCUGGAAAGUCGCAGGGUACAGGGUGAUACUCCCGUACACUAAAACGCACAGGCUGUGAACUCGAAGAGUAGGGCGGGACACGUGGUAUCCUGUCUGAAUAUGGGGGGACCAUCCUCCAAGGCUAAAUACUCCUGACUGACCGAUAGUGAACCAGUACCGUGAGGGAAAGGCGAAAAGAACCCCGGCGAGGGGAGUGAAAAAGAACCUGAAACCGUGUACGUACAAGCAGUAGGAGCCCACUAGUUGGGUGACUGCGUACCUUUUGUAUAAUGGGUCAGCGACUUAUAUUCUGUAGCAAGGUUAACCGUAUAGGGGAGCCGCAGGGAAACCGAGUCUUAACUGGGCGUUAAGUUGCAGGGUAUAGACCCGAAACCCGGUGAUCUAGCCAUGGGCAGGUUGAAGGUUGGGUAACACUAACUGGAGGACCGAACCGACUAAUGUUGAAAAAUUAGCGGAUGACUUGUGGCUGGGGGUGAAAGGCCAAUCAAACCGGGAGAUAGCUGGUUCUCCCCGAAAGCUAUUUAGGUAGCGCCUCGUGAACUCAUCUUCGGGGGUAGAGCACUGUUUCGGCUAGGGGGUCAUCCCGACUUACCAACCCGAUGCAAACUACGAAUACCGAAGAAUGUUAUCACGGGAGACACACGGCGGGUGCUAACGUCCGUCGUGAAGAGGGAAACAACCCAGACCGCCAGCUAAGGUCCCAAAGUCAUGGUUAAGUGGGAAACGAUGUGGGAAGGCCCAGACAGCCAGGAUGUUGGCUUAGAAGCAGCCAUCAUUUAAAGAAAGCGUAAUAGCUCACUGGUCGAGUCGGCCUGCGCGGAAGAUGUAACGGGGCUAAACCAUGCACCGAAGCUGCGGCAGCGACGCUUAUGCGUUGUUGGGUAGGGGAGCGUUCUGUAAGCCGUUGAAGGUGGCCUGUGAGGGUUGCUGGAGGUAUCAGAAGUGCGAAUGCUGACAUAAGUAACGAUAAUGCGGGUGAAAAACCCGCACGCCGGAAGACCAAGGGUUCCUGUCCAACGUUAAUCGGGGCAGGGUGAGUCGACCCCUAAGGCGAGGCCGAAAGGCGUAGUCGAUGGGAAACAGGUUAAUAUUCCUGUACUUGGUGUUACUGCGAAGGGGGGACGGAGAAGGCUAUGUUGGCCGGGCGACGGUUGUCCCGGUUUAAGCAUGUAGGCGGAUGUUCCAGGUAAAUCCGGAACGUCACUAACGCUGAGGUGUGAUGACGAGGCACUACGGUGCUGAAGUGACAAAUGCCCUGCUUCCAGGAAAAGCCUCUAAGCAUCAGGUAACAUCAAAUCGUACCCCAAACCGACACAGGUGGUCAGGUAGAGAAUACCAAGGCGCUUGAGAGAACUCGGGUGAAGGAACUAGGCAAAAUGGUGCCGUAACUUCGGGAGAAGGCACGCUGAUGGUAAGUGAAGUGACUUGCUCAUGGAGCUGAAAUCAGUCGAAGAUACCAGCUGGCUGCAACUGUUUAUUAAAAACACAGCACUGUGCAAACACGAAAGUGGACGUAUACGGUGUGACGCCUGCCCGGUGCCGGAAGGUUAAUUGAUGGGGUUAUCCUCGCGGAGAAGCUCUUGAUCGAAGCCCCGGUAAACGGCGGCCGUAACUAUAACGGUCCUAAGGUAGCGAAAUUCCUUGUCGGGUAAGUUCCGACCUGCACGAAUGGCGUAAUGAUGGCCAGGCUGUCUCCACCCGAGACUCAGUGAAAUUGAACUCGCUGUGAAGAUGCAGUGUACCCGCGGCAAGACGGAAAGACCCCGUGAACCUUUACUAUAGCUUGACACUGAACACUGGUCCUUGAUGUGUAGGAUAGGUGGGAGGCUUUGAAGUGUGGACGCCAGUCUGCAUGGAGCCAUCCUUGAAAUACCACCCUUUAAUGGCUGGUGUUCUAACGUGGGCCCGUGAUCCGGGUUGCGGACAGUGUCUGGUGGGUAGUUUGACUGGGGCGGUCUCCUCCUAAAGAGUAACGGAGGAGCACGAAGGUCAGCUAAUCCUGGUCGGACAUCAGGAGGUUAGUGCAAUGGCAUAAGCUGGCUUGACUGCGAGCGUGACGGCGCGAGCAGGUGCGAAAGCAGGUCAUAGUGAUCCGGUGGUUCUGAAUGGAAGGGCCAUCGCUCAACGGAUAAAAGGUACUCCGGGGAUAACAGGCUGAUACCGCCCAAGAGUUCAUAUCGACGGCGGUGUUUGGCACCUCGAUGUCGGCUCAUCACAUCCUGGGGCUGAAGUAGGUCCCAAGGGUAUGGCUGUUCGCCAUUUAAAGUGGUACGCGAGCUGGGUUUAGAACGUCGUGAGACAGUUCGGUCCCUAUCUGCCGUGGGCGCUGGAGAAUUGAGGGGGGCUGCUCCUAGUACGAGAGGACCGGAGUGGACGCAUCACUGGUGUUCGGGUUGUCAUGCCAAUGGCAUUGCCCGGUAGCUAAAUGCGGAAGAGAUAAGUGCUGAAAGCAUCUAAGCACGAAACUUGCCCCGAGAUGAGUUCUCCCUGACUCCUUGAGAGUCCUGAAGGAACGUUGAAGACGACGACGUUGAUAGGCCGGGUGUGUAAGCGCAGCGAUGCGUUGAGCUAACCGGUACUAAUGAACCGUGAGGCUUAACCUU